rnacentral:sRNA from 1 species
AAAAAACAAUAAGACGUAAAUUCAAAAUCAUGUUAUUAAAACUGAUGAAAACAAUUAAGUCAAUCCCUUUUUUUGUAAGUUUUCAAAUCAUGAUCUUAAGUUUUAGAGAGUCUCCUUCAUACAGAUCAAUACCGCUACAUCCUUCUGUAAGUACCGAAGCUUUGGCCUGAACUAGGACUUGGAAAAGACCCUGUCUUCAAAAGAGGAGACCCAUUGCUUGGUAACGAGGAUUACUUUACUCGUCUAGAAGAGGAUCCUAAAGAUGAUGAGAUAGAAGAAGUAAAAACGAAACCCUCUCAUUUAAAGGAAUAGGACCCAAGAAACAGUAAAAGCUCCUCUCUCUUUCUUCUCAAAAUAAAGAAACCAUUUUAUGAACCUUCUUAUCCUGAGAGCUAUUGUUAUUCAUUUAGUCCUUUUGACACCUAACUCUUUGUGUCAAUGUAACACGAUAAGAAUCAAGAUAAAGUUUGGAAACCGUCAUAGGAGGUGUAUCCAUAAUUGACAGGUUUCUUGUGUUCUGAUGUUCAGUCUCCAGCCCAAUGAUUUCCCACUAGACACACACGAGUGUUUACAUAAUUCUUGUGUUUGGUAUUUGACAAUUUGUUAUUGCUUCGGAUCAAAAACGAGGUAAAAGUUGUCACU